AAACCGGCGGGGUACGUAAAUAUAUAUGACGACAAUAAUAAUAAUAAUAAUAAUAAUAAUAAUAAUAAAUGUGCAGUGGUUAAAAGAUUAACGACGACCACGACCGUAACGAAAUUUUUCCCGUCGUAAGUUUACCAUGGUUCGAUCCCGUUCCGUAAUUUUUUUCUACCUUUAUAGUGGCCGCAUGGAAACGCCGAAUCGAGACGAGAUAAUAUUAAAAAAACAUUUAUUUGUGUAGGAAUCGUGAGGAAACACUUUUAUAAAUCGUGUCCAAUCUACGGAACAAAAGAAAAAAAAAAGUUUUUAAAGAAAGAAAUUUUGUAUAUACGAGUGGUAGAACGGAUCCGUUUUUGCCAAUUUUUCAAUUAAUCAAAACGUUUUCGGUCGAUACGGAAAAGAAAUUAAUAAAAGACCAAGUGGUGGGGGUGGCUACGUCCUAGAAACCCAGAGUGGGUUUUGGAGUGUCCGCGAGAAAAAACCCGAGGUUAAACUAAAUAAGAAUAAAAGAUAAGAAGGAAGAAAAAAUUAUUGUCCCCGCUUAUGUAAAACUGUAGAUGUAACCAUAUUUUGUGCACGAUCGUGUCAGUGUUGUAUGACUAUUUAAACGUAUAAAAAUAAAAAGGGUGCCAACGCACUAAUAAAUCGUCUGAUGUUUUGAUUGGCCGGAAGUGAACGGCGCCCGGUGAUUACCGCUAUUAAGGUUGGGGCCGCCCCACCCACCUUUCCUCCACACCGGAAACCCAGACCUAUCUAGGCCCGUUAAAAGAGGGGCCCCCAUUUUUCUUCCGGUAGCCGUCGGGCCAGGCUCUCCACCCAGGAGUCGUCCUACUCGGACUUUGCCCAUUUUUAAAUAUUUCGUAGCGGGGAAAAGCGGAGCGCGCCUAGUCCAUUCGACGGUAGGCUUUCCGAUAUUAAAUAUUUCUGGGCCGAGAGUCGAAUGGAGUUAAAAAUGGCGACGGAGAAUCCCAGGAAAAUUAAAGCGCUGAUAUAUAUUUACAUACCACGAAUAAUAAUAAAAUUUCUCUCAGGUUUCUGUUUGGAUUCGAGAUGGCUCGGCGCAGCUUUUUUCCCCGUGGCUAGCUCGGAGGAGCUUCUUUGGUCCGGAUUUGAAAUCUUAGAAGAUAAACAGUUCUCUUUUCACCCUCUAAUUUGGUUUUCGGUCCGAUAAAACGAAAUAUUCCGAGGACAUUUGUGGCGCCGCCAGCGGGGAACUGGUCUGGCUCCUCUUUCUCUUCUACAGAAAACGCCUAUUUACCUCCGGACGUUUUAACCUUCCAUCCUUCCUAUUUUCCGUCAGACUACCGCCGAACUCUUAAUCUGGCCGCCAGGGUCUCGAUUUUAUCCUCGAUAAAAUUGGCCGGGCUGCCACCCGGAAGACAAAGGGCCCGGCGGUAGUCCGACCCCUGGCCGUGAUUAGCUAAUAUUUAUCCCGUACGGUCCAUCGAUUAGUUCUUCCAUACGGUUACUCUUACCUCCCGGAAAACCCGACGGACUCUGGUUCCGGACCGAAGGCUAACGGAACGGAGAAAAUACCGGCACGGACGGGACGGUUUCUCCAAGAACUCUAUAGACUACCUAUUUGGACGGCGGACCGACGGAGAGGUGGUCGUUUGGUCCCAUCUCGGAUCGGUGGUCGAUGCCACCCUUUAUAUUAGUCGACGGGGCCGGACCUGUAGAGGAGUAUUAAUAACGUAGGUUAUUAAUACUCCUCUACAGGUUAUUCUCACACAUGUCAUCAUGUAGGUUAAGUUAAAUUGUUCCUUGUUUUUUCUAUAUUUUGCAU
rnacentral:lncRNA from 1 species